AUCCUUCUUCCCUAAUGAAGUUGUUAACUUCUUCCAUUGUGAAUUGAAUAACUGGUUUACCAUUAUCAAAUUUAACUGGACAGAGCUCUAUUUUUGCCGGAGAAGGCUGUUUAGCUUGAACUGUUGCAGCAUACUGCAUUGGAUUUUCAUUUGGAUUAGCUUUUAUGAGAUUAUGAAUUGCCUCUCCCACAGCCAAAGGCCAGGGAUCAUACGAUUGCAUUGGAUUUUCAUUUGGAUUAGCUUUUAUGAGAUUAUGAAUUGCCUCUCCCACAGCCAAAGGCUGAGAGCAGGACGCAGCCAUGGCUGCCAAGGUCAGAAAACGUCAACAGAAUCCCAGCAAUAGAACAAGGACAUUGUUCUAUACAACCGAGAGAAGGUGAAU
rnacentral:lncRNA from 1 species